GGGGUUAUAGCUCAGCUGGUCAGAGCGCUACGUUGACAUCGUAGAGGUCGUUGGUUCGAUCCCAACUAAUCCCACCA
rnacentral:tRNA from 15 species